rnacentral:rRNA from 1 species
AUUGAACGCUGGCGGCAGGCCUAACACAUGCAAGUCGAACGAGUGGCGGACGGGUGAGGAAUGUCUGGGAAACUGCCUGAUGGAUGGGGUUAACUACUGGAAACUGUAGCUACUACCGCAUACCAUCAGAUGUGCCCAGAUGGGAUUAGCUUGUUGGUGGGGUAACGGCUCACCAAGGCGACGAUCUCUAGCUGGUCUGAGAGGAUGACCAGCCACACUGGAACUGAGAGACGGUCCAGACUCCUACGGGAGGCAGCAGUGGGGAAUAUUGCACAAUGGGCGCAAGCCUGAUGCAGCCAUGCCGCGUGUAUGAAGAAGGCCUUCGGAUUGUAAAGUACUUUAAGCUGGGAGGCGUUACCCACAGAAUAAGCACCGGCUAACUCCGUGCCAGCCGCCGCGGUAAUUC